rnacentral:rRNA from 1 species
AACGAACGCUGGCGGCAUGCCUAACACAUGCAAGUCGAACGAGACCUUCGGGUCUAGUGGCGCACGGGUGCGUAACGCGUGGGAAUCUGCCCUUCGGUUGGGAAUAACUGAGAGAAAUUUCAGCUAAUACCUUAUAAUGUCUUCGGACCAAAGAUUUAUCGCCGAGGGAUGAGCCCGCGUAGGAUUAGGUAGUUGGUGGGGUAAUGGCCUACCAAGCCGACGAUCCUUAGCUGGUCUGAGAGGAUGAUCAGCCACACUGGGACUGAGACACGGCCCAGACUCGGACGGGAGGCAGCAGUGGAGAAUAUUGGACAAGGGGCGAAGGUCUGAUCCAGCAAUGCCGCGUGAGUGAUGAAGGCCUUAGGGUUGUAAAGCUCUUUUACCCGGGAUGAUAAUGACGGUACCGGGUGAAUAAGCUCCGGCUAACUCCGUG